rnacentral:tRNA from 1 species
GGGAGUGUAACUUAGUGGUAAAGCACUUGGCUGUCAUGCAUGAGACCCUGGGUUUAAUUCCCAGUACCACCA